rnacentral:rRNA from 1 species
GACGAACGCUGGCGGCGUGCUUAACACAUGCAAGUCGAACGGACAUGCCCUGCUUUUGUGGGGUGCUCGAGUGGCGAACGGGUGAGUAACACGUGAGUAACCUGCCCUUGACUUUGGGAUAACUUCAGGAAACUUGGGCUAAUACCGGAUAGGAGCUCCUGCUGCAUGGUGGGGGUUGGAAAGUUUCGGCGGUUGGGGAUGGACUCGCGGCUUAUCAGCUUGUUGGUGGGGUAGUGGCUUACCAAGGCUUUGACGGGUAGCCGGCCUGAGAGGGUGACCGGCCAAAUUGGGACUGAGAUACGGCCCAGACUCCUACGGGAGGCAGCAGUGGGGAAUAUUGCACAAUGGGCGGAAGCCUGAUGCAGCAACGCCGCGUGCGGGAUGACGGCCUUCGGGUUGUAAACCGCUUUCGCCUGUGACGAAGCGUGAGUGACGGUAAUGGGUAAAGAAGCACCGGCUAACUACGUG